rnacentral:ncRNA from 1 species
GCCGUGCGACUGGCGGAUCAGUGGGACAACCACAGGGAGCACGAAACCGAAAAGCCGACCGCCUGGGCG